CAGGUGUCAUUAGGGACAGCUGUAGCCAGGUGUCAUUAGGGACAGCUGUAGCCAGGUGUCAUUAGGGACAGCUGUAACCAGGUGUCAUUAGGGAGGCUGUAACCAGGUGUCAUUAGGGACAGCUGUAACCAGGUGUCAUUAGGGACAGCUGUAACCAGGUGUCAUUAGGGACAGCUGUAGCCAGGUGUCAUUAGGGACAGCUGUAGCCAGGUGUCAUUAGGGACAGCUGUAGCCAGGUGUCAUUAGGGACAGCUGUAACCAGGUGUCAUUAGGGAGGCUGUAACCAGGUGUCAUUAGGGACAGCUGUAACCAGGUGUCAUUAGGGACAGCUGUAACCUGGUGUCAUUAGGGAGGCUGUAACCUGGUGUAAUUAGGGAGGCUGGGACAGCUGUAACCAGGUGUCAUUAGGGACAGCUGUAGCCAGGUGUCAUUAGGGACAGCUGUAACCAGGUGUCAUUAGGGACAGCUGUAGCCAGGUGUCAUUAGGGACAGCUGUAGCCAGGUGUCAUUAGGGACAGCUGUAGCCAGGUGUCAUUAGGGACAGCUGUAGCCAGGUGUCAUUAGGGACAGCUGUAACCAGGUGUCAUUAGGGAGGCUGUAACCAGGUGUCAUUAGGGAGGCUGUAACCAGGUGUCAUUAGGGAGGCUGUAACCAGGUGUCAUUAGGGAGGCUGUAACCUGGUGUCAUUAGGGAGGCUGUAACCUGGUGUCAUUAGGGAGGCUGCAACCAGGUGUCAUUAGGGAGGCUGUAACCAGGUGUCAUUAGGGAGGCUGUAACCAGGUGUCAUUAGGGAGGCUGUAACCAGGUGUCAUUAGGGAGGCUGUAACCAGGUGUCAUUAGGGAGGCUGUAACCAGGUGUCAUUAGGGAGGCUGUAACCAGGUGUCAUUAGGGAGGCUGUAACCAGGUGUCAUUAGGGAGGCUGUAACCAGGUGUCAUUAGGGACAGCUGUAGCCAGGUGUCAUUAGGGAGGCUGUAACCAGG